rnacentral:rRNA from 1 species
ACGGAGGAUGCGAGCGUUAUCCGGAUUCAUUGGGUUUAAAGGGUGCGCAGGCGGACUAAUAAGUCAGUGGUGAAAUCCCAUAGCUCAACUAUGGAACUGCCAUUGAUACUGUUAGACUAGAGUGUAUUUGACGGAGGUAGAAUGCGGCGUGUAGCGGUGAAAUGCGUAGAUAUGCCGAAGAAUACCGAUUGCGAAGGCAGCCUACGGGGCUAAAACUGACGCUCAUGCACGAAAGCGUGGGGAUCAAACAG